ACGGCAGCAUGAUCUAGCUUGCUAGAUUGAUGGCGAGUGGCGAACGGGUGAGUAAUACAUCGGAACGUGCCCUGUAGUGGGGGAUAACUAGUCGAAAGAUUAGCUAAUACCGCAUACGACCUGAGGGUGAAAGUGGGGGACCGCAAGGCCUCAUGCUAUAGGAGCGGCCGAUGUCUGAUUAGCUAGUUGGUGAGGUAAAGGCUCACCAAGGCGACGAUCAGUAGCUGGUCUGAGAGGACGAUCAGCCACACUGGGACUGAGACACGGCCCAGACUCCUACGGGAGGCAGCAGUGGGGAAUUUUGGACAAUGGGGGCAACCCUGAUCCAGCAAUGCCGCGUGUGUGAAGAAGGCCUUCGGGUUGUAAAGCACUUUUGUCCGGAAAGAAAUCGCACUUACUAAUAUUAGGUGUGGAUGACGGUACCGGAAGAAUAAGGACCGGCUAACUACGUGCCAGCAGCCGCGGUAAUACGUAGGGUCCAAGCGUUAAUCGGAAUUACUGUGCGUAAAGCGUGCGCAGGCGGUUGUGCAAGACCGAUGUGAAAUCCCCGGGCUUAACCUGGGAAUUGCAUUGGUGACUGCACGGCUAGAGUGUGUCAGAGGGGGGUAGAAUUCCACGUGUAGCAGUGAAAUGCGUAGAGAUGUGGAGGAAUACCGAUGGCGAAGCAGCCCCCUGGGAUAACACUGACGCUCAUGCACGAAAGCGNNNGGGGAGCAAACAGGAUUAGAUACCNUGGUAGUCCACGCCCUAAACGAUGUCAACUAGUUGUUGGGGAUUCAUUUCCUUAGUAACGUAGCUAACGCGUGAAGUUGACCGCCUGGGGAGUACGGUCGCAAGAUUAAAACUCAAAGGAAUUGACGGGGACCCGCACAAGCGGUGGAUGAUGUGGAUUAAUUCGAUGCAACGCGAAAAACCUUACCUACCCUUGACAUGCCACUAACGAAGCAGAGAUGCAUUAGGUGCUCGAAAGAGAAAGUGGACACAGGUGCUGCAUGGCUGUCGUCAGCUCGUGUCGUGAGAUGUUGGGCUAAGUCCCGCAACGAGCGCAACCCUUGUCUCUAGUUGCUACGAAAGGGCACUCUAGAGAGACUGCCGGUGACAAACCGGAGGAAGGUGGGGAUGACGUCAAGUCCUCAUGGCCCUUAUGGGUAGGGCUUCACACGUCAUACAAUGGUGCAUACAGAGGGUUGCCAAGCCGCGAGGUGGAGCUAAUCCCAGAAAAUGCAUCGUAGUCCGGAUCGUAGUCUGCAACUCGACUACGUGAAGCUGGAAUCGCUAGUAAUCGCGGAUCAGCAUGCCGCGGUGAAUACGUUCCCGGGUCUUGUACACACCGCCCGUCACACCAUGGGAGUGGGUUUUGCCAGAAGUAGUUAGCCUAACCGCAAGGGGGGCGAUUACCACGGCAGGGCUCAUGACUGGGGUGAA
rnacentral:rRNA from 1 species